CCGUGGGGGCAGUCCAUCAUCGGUCUCCCAAGUCACGAUAGGGUGUUCCCAAGACUUGCAAACUUGUCGAAUAUGCCUUUGUAGCGCGCUCAGUUUCGGAAUGAGCGUCUGGCCCAAUUAGGCUACAUGACGCAACCUUAGACCUAACUAUCCAGGUUAGUUUACUGUCAGAAAAAAACUGAAAGCGACGGGUGCCCUCCAUGAAGCAACAGUAACGCCAAAAGAAGGCUGAGGGCAGCGAAGUUAAUAGCCUUUAUUAGGCUAGUUUAACCGAUCAAGACCACUUCCACAUUGCAAGAUGUCCGUUAAACUGACCUUCGUGAAGUUGGCAAGCAGAGGCAUCACCGUGCUUUGCGCGAGCGCGUCCACCCCUGCCCUGGCGGCAAUCGCAGUGGUGGCUGUGUGCGGGCUACUAUAUUUUACCAAGACCUCUACAACCCCCGCAUAUUGACCGACUAGGACAAACCAGAUAGCCAACUAAGAGAGAAAAAAGCCUGCUACUGUAGGCCUACUCCCUGGAUGGUGGUGGAUUUCAGGAUUCCAAAAUGGAUUCCACUGCCUGCUUUACAAAGACUUGACCAAAAGAUGGCGCUAUUUGUCUUAUCUGUCACUGGCCUUUUGCAAAUGGUGCCAAAGGUUCAGUCCGUGAUUGUUAUCCACACUUUUCUCUUGAAUUCAGGGAAUUGAUCCUCAUUGUCACAUAGAUGUCAGCGUUGGCGUCCAAAAAAAUGCAGGUGUAUUCAGUCCUGGCUCUGUGUAUGGAGCGACCUCUAAACAAUAGCCAAUCAACAAGGUGCUCCAUUGGCAUGUAGAGUGAU